rnacentral:rRNA from 1 species
UACGUAGGGUGCGAGCGUUAAUCGGAAUUACUGGGCGUAAAGCGUGCGCAGGCGGCGCCGCAAGUCGAGUGUGAAAUCCCCGAGCUUAACUUGGGAAUUGCGCUCGAAACUACGGUGCUGGAGUGUGGCAGAGGGAGGUGGAAUUCCACGUGUAGCGGUGAAAUGCGUAGAGAUGUGGAGGAACACCUGUGGCGAAAGCGGCGCACUGGACCACAACUGACGCUGAGGCGCGAAAGCUAGGGGAGCAAACAGG